AACGCGGACAAUCCGGCUCAUACGAUGCUUCGGCGCGACGGUAGAUUCUGCGCUGAUUGGUGGAGCUUCGGAAGAUCAUCGGUGCCUGCGAAAUCGUCUAGGAAAUCCUCGGAGAGGGGAAAGCACUUAGAUCUCAGGGUGACCUGAAUGGCGAGGAGUCGCACAGCAUCUCGAUUUCGUCCAAGGUUCACGGGAGCUACCUCAAAAUCAAGUUCAACGGAAGGGAAGGCAGUCCGGCACAGCUCAUUUCCCUGACCGUGGGUCCAAUCGAUCUUGUAUCCAAGGUUGAGCAAGGCAAAAUUGACAUCGAGCGCCGCCGCUUCUAUAACUUCGAGGAACAGACCGAGAGGAACGUCGCUCGACAAAUCUCGUCGAUCCUCAGCGGAAGAUUCAGCGCUGUCCUACACACUGUUGCCAGCCGCCACCUGAUGCCUUGAUUCCAGCUCCAUUCUUCAGUCCUCGUCGGAAGUUCAACGAUGCAACUCAAUGAGGGAUUUAAUAAAUGACUAAGGUUAUU